rnacentral:sRNA from 1 species
GAAGAUGCUUCAGACAGAUCCCACUGCCCGCCCAACCAUUAACGAGCUGCUUAACGACGAGUUCUUUACUUCUGGCUAUAUCCCUGCCCGUCUCCCCAUCACCUGCCUGACCAUUCCACCGAGGUUUUCGAUUGCUCCCAGCAGCCUGGACCCCAGCAACCGGAAGCCCCUCACAGUCCUCAAUAAAGGCUUGGAGAACACCCUGCCUGAGCGUCCCCGGGAAAAAGAAGAACCAGUGGUUCGAGAGACAGGUGAGGUGGUCGACUGCCACCUCAGUGACAUGCUGCAGCAGCUGCACAGUGUCAAUGCCUCCAAGCCCUCGGAGCGUGGGCUGGUCAGGCAAGGUGGGUACUGCGGGGCCGUGGGCGGGGCAGGAUUGCUUGGGGCAUCUGGAAAAGGCAGGAGGAGCCUUGGCCAACAAAGCACUGGUGACUUGUCCAGGCCCUGUCUCCAUGGGACCAUUGGUUUCCCCAUUUCCUGAUAUCCAAGGCCCUGCUUGCUGUGGCUCCUGCCUUCUUUUCUUCUUUUACUCU